GGAGGGACCAGCCGACGGUUGGCGACGGCCGCGGUCUCGAAAACCGUUGGGGACGUCGAGUCCCGUGCGAGUUCGAUCCUCGCUCCCUCCG
rnacentral:tRNA from 1 species